GACGAACGCUGGCGGCGUGCUUAACACAUGCAAGUCGAACGGUGAAGCGCUUGCCUUUUUGGUGGGUGUGGAUGAGUGGCGAACGGGUGAGUAACACGUGAGUAACCUGCCCUCUUCUUCUGGAUAACCUCAUGAAAGUGGGGCUAAUACGGGGUAUUCCGGGUCUGUCGCAUGGCGGGUUUGGGAAAGAUUGCGCCUUUGGGUGUUUUCGGUGGGGGAUGGGCUCGCGGCCUAUCAGCUUGUUGGUGGGGUGAUGGCCUACCAAGGCGGUGACGGGUAGCCGGCCUGAGAGGGUGGACGGCCACACUGGGACUGAGACACGGCCCAGACUCCUGCGGGAGGCAGCAGUGGGGAAUAUUGCACAAUGGGCGCAAGCCUGAUGCAGCGAGGCCGCGUGAGGGAUGGAGGCCUUCGGGUUGUGAACCUCUUUCGCCAGUGAAGCAGGCCUGCUCCUGUGUGGGUGAGUUGACGGUAGCUGGAUAAGAAGCGCCGGCUAACUACGUG
rnacentral:rRNA from 1 species